rnacentral:rRNA from 1 species
CCUACGGGAGGCAGCAGUGGGGAAUAUUGCGCAAUGGGCGAAAGCCUGAUGCAGCGACGCCGCGUGAGGGAAGAAGGUCUUCGGAUUGUAAACCUCUGUCAGCAGGGAAGAACGGUCACUGUGCUAAUCAGCAGUGAAUUGACGGUAACUGCCAAGGAAGCACCGGCUAACGACGUGCCAGCAGCCGCGGUAAUACGGAGGGGGCGAGCGUUAAGCGGAAUUACUGGGCGUAAGGGGCUCGUAGACGGUAUGUCAAGUCAAGGGUGAAAUCCCCGCGCUCAACGAUGGAACUGCCUUUGAAACUGUCAAGCUGGAGUGUGUGAGAGGAUAGUGGAAUUCCAGGUGUAGGAGUGAAAUCCGUAGAUAUCUGGAGGAACAUCAGUGGCGAAGGCGACUAUCUGGCACAUAACUGACGCUGAGGAGCGAAAGCGUGGGUAGCAAACAGGAUUAGAUACCCUGGUAGUC